rnacentral:rRNA from 1 species
AUAAUGGGUCAGCGACUUAUAUUCUGUAGCAAGGUUAACCGAAUAGGGGAGCCGAAGGGAAACCGAGUCUUAACUGGGCGUUAAGUUGCAGGGUAUAGACCCGAAACCCGGUGAUCUAGCCAUGGGCAGGUUGAAGGUUGGGUAACACUAACUGGAGGACCGAACCGACUAAUGUUGAAAAAUUAGCGGAUGACUUGUGGCUGGGGGUGAAAGGCCAAUCAAACCGGGAGAUAGCUGGUUCUCCCCGAAAGCUAUUUAGGUAGCGCCUCGUGAAUUCAUCUCCGGGGGUAGAGCACUGUUUCGGCAAGGGGGUCAUCCCGACUUACCAACCCGAUGCAAACUGCGAAUACCGGAGAAUGUUAUCACGGGAGACACACGGCGGGUGCUAACGUCCGUCGUGAAGAGGGAAACAACCCAGACCGCCAGCUAAGGUCCCAAAGUCAUGGUUAAGUGGGAAACGAUGUGGGAAGGCCCAGACAGCCAGGAUGUUGGCUUAGAAGCAGCCAUCAUUUAAAGAAAGCGUAAUAGCUCACUGGUCGAGUCGGCCUGCGCGGAAGAUGUAACGGGGCUAAACCAUGCACCGAAGCUGCGGCAGCGACGCUUAUGCGUUGUUGGGUAGGGGAGCGUUCUGUAAGCCUGUGAAGGUGUACUGUGAGGUAUGCUGGAGGUAUCAGAAGUGCGAAUGCUGACAUAAGUAACGAUAAAGCGGGUGAAAAGCCCGCUCGCCGGAAGACCAAGGGUUCCUGUCCAACGUUAAUCGGGGCAGGGUGAGUCGACCCCUAAGGCGAGGCCGAAAGGCGUAGUCGAUGGGAAACAGGUUAAUAUUCCUGUACUUGGUGUUACUGCGAAGGGGGGACGGAGAAGGCUAUGUUGGCCGGGCGACGGUUGUCCCGGUUUAAGCGUGUAGGCUGGUU